CCUACGGGUGGCAGCAGUGGAGAAUAUUGCACAAUGGGGGAAACCCUGAUGCAGCGACGCCGCGUGAGUGAAGAAGUAAUUCGUUAUGUAAAGCUCUAUCAGCAGGGAAGAAAAUGACGGUACCUGAGUAAGAAGCCCCGGCUAACUACGUGCCAGCAGCCGCGGUAAUACGUAUGGGGCAAGCGUUAUCCGGAUUUACUGGGUGGAAAGGGAGCGUAGACGGCAGUGCAAGUCUGGAGUGAAAGGCGGGGGCUCAACCCCCGGACUGCUCUGGAAACUGUACGGCUGGAGUGCAGGAGAGGUAAGUGGAAUUCCUAGUGUAGCGGUGAAAUGCGUAGAUAUUAGGAGGAACACCAGUGGCGAAGGCGGCUUACUGGACUGUAACUGACGUUGAGGCUCGAAAGCGUGGGGAGCAAACAGGAUUAGAUACCCCUGUAGUC
rnacentral:rRNA from 1 species